rnacentral:rRNA from 1 species
UUCUAACCGUAAACGAUGACAACCAGCGAUUAAUCGGCGUUAAUAUAUGACCCGAUUAGCAGCUUCCGGGAAACCAAAGUUUUUCGUUUCCGGGGGAAGUAUGGUUGCAAAGCUGAAACUUAAAGGAAUUGACGGAAGGGCACCACCAGGAGUGGAGCCUGCGGCUUAAUUUGACUCAACACGGGAAAACUCACCCGGCCCGGACACUGUAAGGAUUGACAGACUGAGAGCUCUUUCUUAAUUCGGUGGGUGGUGGUGCAUGGCCGUUCUUAGUUGGUGGAGCGAUUUGUCUGGUUAAUUCCGAUAACGAACGAGACUCUGGCCUAUUAAAUAGACGAUAUAUUUAAAAGUAUAUCGCGCUUCUUAGAGGGACAAGCGGCGUCUAGCCGCAUGAAAUAGAGCAAUAACAGGUCUGUGAUGCCCUUAGAUGUCCGGGGCUGCACGCGCGCUACACUGAAAGAAUCAGAGUGCGUUAUACCUAGUUCGGAAGGACCGGGUAACCCAAGUAAAUUCUUUCGUGCUUGGGAUAGGGAAUUGCAAUUAUUUCCCUUAAACGAGGAAUUCCCAGUAAAUGCGGGUCAUAAGCUCGCGUUG